rnacentral:rRNA from 1 species
GACGUAGGGCGCGAGCGUUGUCCGGAUUCAUUGGGCGUAAAGAGCGUGUAGGCGGCCAGGUAGGUCGGUUGUGAAAACUGGAGGCUCAACCUUCAGAGGUCGACCGAAACCAUCUGGCUAGAGUCCGGGAGAGGAGAGUGGAAUUCCUGGUGUAGCGGUGAAAUGCGCAGAUAUCAGGAAGAACACCCGUGGCGAAAGCGGCUCUCUGGAACGGUACUGACGCUGAGACGCGAAAGCGUGGGGA